UGGCCCCCGUUGCGCGUGGCCGGCGCGGUGCUGCUGGUGGCGGCGCUCGGCGUGCUGGUCUCGGCGUUCGCCCGGUUCGUGUCCGAGGGCUUCGGC
rnacentral:tRNA from 1 species